rnacentral:rRNA from 1 species
AAGACCUUGCACUUUUGGAGCGGCCGAUGUCUGAUUAGCUAGUUGGUGGGGUAAAGGCCUACCAAAGCUUCGAUCAGUAGCUGGUCUGAGAGGACGGCCAGCCACACUGGGACUGAGACACGGCCCAGACUCCUACGGGAGGCAGCAGUGGGGAAUUUUGGACAAUGGGCGCAAGCCUGAUCCAGCCAUGCCGCGUGAGUGAAGAAGGCCUUCGGGUUGUAAAGCUCUUUCAGCCGGGAAGAAAAGGCUGCGACUAAUAAUCGCAGUUCAUGACGGUACCGGAAGGAGAAGCACCGGCUAACUACGUGCCAGCAGCCGCGGUAAUACGUAGGGUGCGAGCGUUAAUCGGAAUUACUGGGCGUAAAGGGUGCGCAGGCGGUUUUGUAAGUCAGAUGUGAAAUCCCCGGGCUUAACCUGGGAACU